rnacentral:snRNA from 1 species
UAUUAGCAUGGCCCCUGCGCAAGGAUGACACUCAAAUUCGUGAAGCGUUCCAAAAAUUU